rnacentral:rRNA from 1 species
UACGGAGGGGGCUAGCGUUGUUCGGAAUUACUGGGCGUAAAGCGCACGUAGGCGGCUUUGUAAGUUAGAGGUGAAAGCCCGGGGCUCAACUCCGGAAUUGCCUUUAAGACUGCAUCGCUAGAAUUGUGGAGAGGUAAGUGGAAUUCCGAGUGUAGAGGUGAAAUUCGUAGAUAUUCGGAAGAACACCAGUGGCGAAGGCGACUUACUGGACACAUAUUGACGCUGAGGUGCGAAAGCGUGGGGAGC